rnacentral:rRNA from 1 species
AAUCCAUAGGUUAAUGAGGCGAACCGGGGGAACUGAAACAUCUAAGUACCCCGAGGAAAAGAAAUCAACCGAGAUUCCCCCAGUAGCGGCGAGCGAACGGGGAGGAGCCCAGAGCCUGAAUCAGCAUGUGUGUUAGUGGAAGCGUCUGGAAAGGCGCGCGAUACAGGGUGACAGCCCCGUACACAAAAGCGCAUGUGCUGUGAGCUCGAUGAGUAGGGCGGGACACGUGGUAUCCUGUCUGAAUAUGGGGGGACCAUCCUCCAAGGCUAAAUACUCCUGACUGACCGAUAGUGAACCAGUACCGUGAGGGAAAGGCGAAAAGAACCCCGGCGAGGGGAGUGAAAAAGAACCUGAAACCGUGUACGUACAAGCAGUGGGAGCACCCUUCGGGGUGUGACUGCGUACCUUUUGUAUAAUGGGUCAGCGACUUAUAUUCUGUAGCAAGGUUAACCGUAUAGGGGAGCCGGAGGGAAACCGAGUCUUAACCGGGCGUUAAGUUGCAGGGUAUAGACCCGAAACCCGGUGAUCUAGCCAUGGGCAGGUUGAAGGUUGGGUAACACUAACUGGAGGACCGAACCGACUAAUGUUGAAAAAUUAGCGGAUGACCUGUGGCUGGGGGUGAAAGGCCAAUCAAACCGGGAGAUAGCUGGUUCUCCCCGAAAGCUAUUUAGGUAGCGCCUCGUGAAUUCAUCUCCGGGGGUAGAGCACUGUUUCGGCUAGGGGGCCAUCCCGGCUUACCAACCCGAUGCAAACUGCGAAUACCGGAGAAUGUUAUCACGGGAGACACACGGCGGGUGCUAACGUCCGUCGUGAAGAGGGAAACAACCCAGACCGCCAGCUAAGGUCCCAAAGUCAUGGUUAAGUGGGAAACGAUGUGGGAAGGCCCAGACAGCCAGGAUGUUGGCUUAGAAGCAGCCAUCAUUUAAAGAAAGCGUAAUAGCUCACUGGUCGAGUCGGCCUGCGCGGAAGAUGUAACGGGGCUAAACCAUGCACCGAAGCUGCGGCAGCGAACGUAUCACCCAAGACAACUUUACGGAGUUGACGAUUGACGGAGCGAAGCGACGUCAAAGCGUUCAUUAAAGUCGAGUUGGCUUAGGGAUACGUUCGUUGGGUAGGGGAGCGUUCUGUAAGCCUGUGAAGGUGUGUCGUGAGGCAUGCUGGAGGUAUCAGAAGUGCGAAUGCUGACAUAAGUAACGAUAAAGCGGGUGAAAAGCCCGCUCGCCGGAAGACCAAGGGUUCCUGUCCAACGUUAAUCGGGGCAGGGUGAGUCGACCCCUAAGGCGAGGCCGAAAGGCGUAGUCGAUGGGAAACGGGUUAAUAUUCCCGUACUUGGUGUUACUGCGAAGGGGGGACGGAGAAGGCUAUGUUGGCCGGGCGACGGUUGUCCCGGUUUAAGCGUGUAGGUGUGUGUUCCAGGUAAAUCCGGUUCACUUUAACACUGAGGCGUGACGACGAGGCACUACGGUGCUGAAGCAACAAAUGCCCUGCUUCCAGGAAAAGCCUCUAAGCAUCAGGUAACACGAAAUCGUACCCCAAACCGACACAGGUGGUCAGGUAGAGAAUACCAAGGCGCUUGAGAGAACUCGGGUGAAG